CGCGUUCGGUUCGCAGUCACUCGUGUUCCCGUGUCCGAACUCCGAAGCCGCUGCUGCUGCUGCUGCCGCCGCCGCCGCCGCCACCACCGUCGUUUUAACUCUCAACUCUCGAGUCUUAAUUUUUUUUUUUACUCCUUUUAACUUCUCAAUUAUUUAUUUUACUAAUUCUGCUGCCUCUAUCUCCCAAGUCUCGGUUCUCUCCAACGGUUUUUUUUCCGGCUUUUUCGAAACCGUUUCCUGCUAGGAGAACGUGUUACUCGUGGUGUGUGUUACGUUCACCACGGUGUUUCUCGUUGGCUUUUUCUUAUUUUUUUUUAAACCGUCUGCGACUAGAUUUCAUUUUAUUUCCUAGUCACUCUUGACCACUCUCGACCAACGCGUUUACAAAUUUUUUCUCCUUUUUUUUUUUUUGAGGUUUGGCGGCGGCGACCAAGAAACGUGCUUCGUGCGUGCGCGCAUACGAAUGGAACGCGCGCGCGCACGCACCGGAGCGCGGCACGGCGGCGUACGUUGUUCGUGGAACACGUGAGAACGACAACGGAGGCGGCGGCGACGACUACUGCAGCUGAUGACGACAAUGCCGAGUUUCAAUGUCACGUAGGGUGGUGUGGUGUACCCUCCGUCGCCGCUCAACGAUCACGUGUUUGGUGCGUAACACAAUGGUGGUUCGCGCGGUAACUGCGUACUGCGCGUCGUGUUUGCAUUGUCUGCUGCGCGAUCGGCGUUCAAGGUUUUUCAGAGUCCAAGACGUCAUGUUCGUUUCAAUAUCGGCUGUUUUUUUGUUUUCCAUCAUCGUUAUAAUAAUAUGUAAUUUUAUCGUUAGUUUAUGUAUGUUUGUAACUUUUUUUUUUCCCGCCGCACAUUGUUUUGAUUUUUUUUUCUUGUUAUUGUUUUUGAAUUUUUUUUUAGCGCCCAUGUUGCCGUGUCGCAUUUGUAUAUAUUUAGUUUUUUACGCUGUCUGUUGUAUUUUCAGUUACGAUAUACUUUGCUAUUGAG